rnacentral:rRNA from 1 species
UACGAAGGGGGCUAGCGUUGUUCGGAAUUACUGGGCGUAAAGGGCGCGUAGGCGGCCUGCUAAGUCGGACGUGAAAUCCCCCGGCUCAACCGGGGAACUGCGUCCGAUACUGGUGGGCUCGAAUCCGGGAGAGGGAUGUGGAAUUCCAGGUGUAGCGGUGAAAUGCGUAGAUAUCUGGAGGAACACCGGUGGCGAAGGCGGCAUCCUGGACCGGUAUUGACGCUGAGGCGCGAAAGCCAGGGGAGCAAAGCGGGG